UUACCACUCUCAGGCUAUAUAGCCAAGGACUCGCGCAACUUACGCCAUCUUUAUCACGCCUUCCUAACUCGAUGGUGCCACCCUAGUCUCCACUUGUACCACUUCGGCCUGUGUUGUUACAAAUUCUGUCGUGAAUCUCUACUACUUAAAAAGAAUAGAUUUCACUACUUAAAAAGAACGUAAGGUUCCCGUUUCACCUUUCUUUCCACCACCCCCUUUGUCCAACCUACCCCUAUUAUAGUCAAUCACCUCAAUUAACUUACCUUCUUAACCAAUUAUACUUUAACUUACUUACCAAACUCCUGAACAAAAUAUAAGGUAAAUCACGGGCAAAAUUUGAUGAACAUUUACUUUCACAAUCGCAUUAUUAUAGACAGGUAAAUCACAAGCUAACAUACUAGAAUAUUUAUAUCCCGUUGCAACGCACGGGCAUUGUUCUAGUAAACCAAAAAGCAACUCUCACUUGGUACUCUGCGAAAAUGAAAUUUCAUGGCAUAAAAUUCUUUUGGAGUCUCAUGCCUGUGCAUCCGUGUCAGCUCAUGUAGAUUCGCCUGCCUGCAACCAUACCAAGGAUGUUUGGUUUUGAAAUUUCGGCCUGACUGGACAUGAGAUGAACUUCCCAGCUGAGCCCACGUGAAUAGACUUAACCCUUCUCCAAGAGUGGUAACGUGCAAUGGAGAAGUAAUAUCUCCGGCAUAAAGCAUACAAGUACACAACUAUCGAUGGCCUAGGAAACAUG
rnacentral:lncRNA from 1 species